rnacentral:rRNA from 2 species
GGACGAACGCUGGCGGCGUGCUUAACACAUGCAAGUCGAACGGAAAGGCCCUUCGGGGUACUCGAGUGGCGAACGGGUGAGUAACACGUGGGUGAUCUGCCCUGCACUUUGGGAUAAGCCUGGGAAACUGGGUCUAAUACCGAAUAUGACCAUGCGCCUCCUGGUGUGUGGUGGAAAGCUUUUGCGGUGUGGGAUGGGCCCGCGGCCUAUCAGCUUGUUGGUGGGGUAAUGGCCUACCAAGGCGACGACGGGUAGCCGGCCUGAGAGGGUGACCGGCCACACUGGGACUGAGAUACGGCCCAGACUCCUACGGGAGGCAGCAGUGGGGAAUAUUGCACAAUGGGCGCAAGCCUGAUGCAGCGACGCCGCGUGAGGGAUGACGGCCUUCGGGUUGUAAACCUCUUUCAGCACAGACGAAGCGCAAGUGACGGUAUGUGCAGAAGAAGGACCGGCCAACUAC